ensembl:lncRNA
CUGCAGUCGAGGUGGAGAGUGUUGGUCUCCGUCUGGCUUGAUGUUGACGCUUCAACAGCGUUCUUUUUGAUGAGGAUGACACACACAACAGUUUGUCUCCAGCACAGUCAAGGUUCCCAUCAGUCACAGAGAAUGAGCUUAACAGGGACAGCACUGUGCGGAAGGUGCUCUGCUGCAUCAGGAUGCAAGAUGGGGUGAAUUCCUCAAGAACUAAAAUCUGCAGUCGUUGCAGAGAAUGGCCUUCAGUAAAAGUCAUGAAGCUGUUCAGCUGUGUUAGCAUGCUGGGUUCAGGGAGUUCUGGACAGAGAGGAGCAGAUGUGGAUCAGCAUCACUGCACCUGAUUCUGGGUAAGCUAUUAAAGGUCAUUUGAUCGCGGUACAGCUGCUCUGAGGAGUUUACAGUUCGCUGUGAUGAUGCUUUUCCUGCCAUUCGUAGUUUCCACCAGAGGUUUAAACACCAAAGAUGGUUCAAGUCUUCCUUGGAUGUCUGAGCGAACACUUUGAAGUUUAACUCUUGUUGAUGACUGAGAACCUUCACAGACAACUCUUGUUAUUGACACGUCUUCUUUCAGAGCUGACUCUGCCUCGAUCUCUGUUUCAGGAUGAACGUCUUCAGUUAUGCCCACCAGCUGUAAACCUGUUGUGUCACCAGAGCUGCUCCCGGCUGACUGGAUGUUUCUGUAAAGGAUCAACCUGCAGACUCUCCAGCACAAGUGUUGGUGGUCAGAGUUCCUGAAGCUGGGAGAUAAUUGCCACGGAUACCAAGGCUAAUCUGUGGAUUCUCCAGGCUGUUAAAGCUGGCUGGACGUCAACAUUGAUGGACCUGCAAUCAAACAUGAGUCAGCUGUGUAGGGUUUUUUUUUUUUUUUUGUUUUUUUGUAGGUUGAAGUUUGAAAGAUGGCUGUCAUCUAAUCUUAAAAAUAAAAUGAAUCUUAAACAGAAAACAAGCUAGCAGUUUUGUGACUAUAAAUGAGAUGUUCUUAGUUUUGAAGUAACUGUUUUUUAUUUUCCAUGCAUGCUGGCAAAGUUAGUUAGUUUUUUGUAUUUUUACUUGUACAUAAUUUUUAAAGUAAUAAAGAUCCAAUAGGUGUCGAAAGAUUUUGUUUUUAAUCUGUCUUCUCUUGCUGAAAUUCAUUCAUUCAAAUAAGGGGUUUUAGACUGUACACUGUUGCUUCUCGUUGGGCUGCAUUGCUUGGGCAAAUGCUUAAAUAUUUGAUAGAUUGUAACUGAUGAAAACUAUUCAACAUCUAACUCAGUGACGUGAAGAAGAAUCCCAGAGAACAUAAAUUGCAUCAUGUAAAUUUUAACACUACAGAAUAACAUUUGUGAAAUGUUUUCAGACAUUGAACAACUAUAUUAGUUCACUAUACUGUGAAAACCCAGUGUGUCGAGGACUAUUUUGGGAAUAAAUCAGGCUAUACAUGAAGUGUUGAGUUGGUGUUGGCUGAGAAGUUAGUCAGAUUAAGUAGGUAAAUGGGUGUACCUGAUUUUCUACUUGGUAAAACAGUUACAUAUUUCUAAGCAACUGACUUUUACACUGUUAUGCAG